GUGGGCUUCAUUUCAGAGAAGAGGAAACUGGGAUUUGGAGCUGAAGUAACUUGACCAAGAGCAGAUGGCAGGCACCCCUGAGCAUGAAAUAUAAAUUUCCCCCUGAGGAUUUAUGCCUUAUGUUUCUAGAGGGACAUAGAGAAGACAGAUAACUUAAAUACUUGGGUUCUGGAUUGGGGUUAUGUCAAACAUGCCACCGAAGAUUCUUGCACACGUUAUGCUGGUGUACAUAUAUGGAAGUGUCUGUGAGUACACACGUCACGGAGGAACUGCUGUGCCAUAGGGGAUACACACCCUCAACCUUGGCAGAUGAUGCUGAGCUGCCUUCCAGAGCAGCAGUGCUGGUUUGCACUCUCAGAAGCUUUGUAGAGAGUUCCAACUGCUCCACUUUCUCACCCACGCUUGGUAUUUCCAGACUUAAGUUUUUGCCAAUGAGCUUGUAUAUGUAAUGGUGCCCUACUGUGGUUUUAAUUUGCAUUUCUUUUCUUGCUGCAAAUAUCAGAGCCCCCUUUCUUCUGUUUAUUGGCCCUUUGAGUUUCUUCAUUUGUGGAGUAUAUCUCCGAAGUCUUUGGCCCAUUUGUUUCCAAGGAGUCUUUUUCUUAUUGAUGUGUAGAUGUUCUCUAGAUGUUUCAAAUGUCAGUCCUUUGUUGCAAAGUCUCAGUCUCUCUCUCUCUUUAUGCCUUGCCUUUUCACUCUCUUAAAGGUGUUUUUUUAAUUAACAAAAAUUCUUAAU
rnacentral:lncRNA from 1 species